rnacentral:rRNA from 1 species
GUCCACGCCGUAAACGAUGAAUGCUGGUUGUUGGUCUUUAAAGAUCAGUGACGACGUAAACACGAUAAGCAUUCCGCCUGGGGAGUACGAUCGCAAGAUUGAAACUCAAAGGAAUUGACGGGGACCCCGCACAAGCAGCGGAGCAUGUGGUUUAAUUCGAAGCAACGCGAAGAACCUUACCAGGUUUUGACAUAGGAGUGACCGGAUCAGAGAUGAUCCUUUCUUCGGAACACUCCAUACAGGUGGUGCAUGGUUGUCGU